GAAGUCGGCGGUCCAUCUGGGGAUUUUGGGAUUAAGGCGGUGGAGAACCGCAGCUGUUAAGGCAGUUAAAACUGCCUAACAGCCGCGAUCCCCCACCCCUUUGAGGCGGAUGAAGGCUUAUAAAAGCCCUGGAGUCCGCUGAGGGGGACUCCAUUGAUCAUCUUCUCACUUUCCUCGUUCUUCUUCCUCUGUGCAAGGAGUCGGACCGGGAGCUGUGGUGCCGGAGGGGGAAGGAUUUCCAGCUCGCCACCUCGUGGUGCUGCCGAAGCAAACAAAGGAGCUCGCCGGAAUCCUUCACGGCUCAUCGGAGCUAGGUAAUCCCUUAAUCCCCUUGCUUUUCAUUAACGGUUUACCUACUGUUGGCCUAGAUUUAAAUUAGUUAGGGUUGAUUUACAGAGGAAGAAGGGUAGGGAGAAGAUGAAGAGAAGGAAGGAGAAGGAUCUAACCAAUGAUCGGCUGUGAUCCGACAUUGGCCGGG
rnacentral:lncRNA from 1 species